GAGUUUGUUCCUAAGAGCUAAAGGACUCUGGCCGAUAACCAGACAUUUAGGGGUUAAACUCCCCUCAAACUCC
rnacentral:tRNA from 1 species